AGCAGCCGCGGUAAUUCCAGCUCCAAUAGCGUAUAUUAAAGUUGUUGCAGUUAAAAAGCUCGUAGUUGAAUUUCGAGAUCAAUAUGUUGGUCGUGCCUCGGUACGUACUUGCAUCAUUGAUUUCUCCCUUCUGAUGAACCAUGAUGCCAUUAAUUUGGUGUCUUGGGGAAUCAGGACUGUUACUUUGAAAAAAUUAGAGUGUUUAAAGCAGGCUCACGCUUGAAUACAUUAGCAUGGAAUAAUGAAAUAGGACGUUUGAUUCUAUUUUGUUGGUUUCUAGGAUCGAUGUAAUGAUUAAUAGGGAUAGUUGGGGGCAUUAGUAUUCAAUUGUCAGAGGUGAAAUUCUUGGAUUUAUUGAAGACUAACUACUGCGAAAGCAUUUGCCAAGGAUGUUUUCAUUAAUCAAGAACGAAAGUUAGGGGAUCGAAGACGAUCAGAUACCGUCGUAGUCUUAACCAUAAACUAUGCCGACUAGGGAUCGGAUGAUGUUAAUUUUUAAUGUAA
rnacentral:rRNA from 1 species